rnacentral:rRNA from 1 species
AACGAACGCUGGCGGCAUGCCUAACACAUGCAAGUCGAGCGCCCGUAGCAAUACGGGAGCGGCGCACGGGUGAGUAACGCGUGGGAACCUGCCCAGAGGUUCGGGACAACCGCGGGAAACUGCGGCUGAUACCGGAUGAUACCUGAGGGUCAAAGAUUUAUCGCCUUUGGAGGGGCCCGCGUCGGAUUAGGUAGUUGGUGGGGUAACGGCCUACCAAGCCUAUGAUCCGUAACUGGUCUGAGAGGAUGACCAGUCACACUGGGACUGAGACACGGCCCAGACUCCUACGGGAGGCAGCAGUGGGGAGUAUUGGACAAUGGGGGGCAACCCUGAUCCAGCAAUGCCGCGUGGGUGAUGAAGGCCUUCGGGUUGUAAAGCCCUUUCGGCGGGACGAUGAUGACGGUACCCGCAGAAGAAGCCCCGGCUAACUCCGUGCCAGCAGCCGCGGUAAU